GACGGAGGAUGCAAGUGUUAUCCGGAAUCACUGGGCGUAAAGCGUCUGUAGGUGGUUUAAUAAGUCAACUGUUAAAUCUUGAGGCUCAACCUCAAAAUCGCAGUCGAAACUAUUAGGCUAGAGUAUAGUAGGGGUAAAGGGAAUUUCCAGUGGAGCGGUGAAAUGCGUAGAGAUGCGGAGGAACACCGAUGGCGAAGGCAGCCCCCUGGGCUAACACUGACGCUCAGGCACGAAAGGCGUGGGG
rnacentral:rRNA from 1 species